UACGGGGGGAGCAAGCGUUGUUCGGAUUUACUGGGCGUAAAGGGCGCGUAGGCGGUCGUGACAAGUCACUUGUGAAAUCUCCGGGCUUAACUCGGAACGGUCAAGUGAUACUGUCGGACUAGAGUACAGAAGGGGCAACUGGAAUUCUCGGUGUAGCGGUGAAAUGCGUAGAUAUCGAGAGGAACACCUGCGGCGAAGGCGGCAUCCUGGACCAAUAUUGACGCUGAGGCGCGAAAGCCAGGGGAGCGAACGGG
rnacentral:rRNA from 1 species